rnacentral:rRNA from 1 species
UACGUAGGGUGCGAGCGUUAACCGGAAUUACUGGGCGUAAAGCGUGCGCAGGCGGUUCGUUGUGUCGGUGGUGAAAUCCCCGGGCUUAACCUGGGAACUGCCAUCGAAACUGGCGUACUAGAGUGUGGCAGAGGGGGGUGGAAUUCCGCGUGUAGCAGUGAAAUGCGUAGAUAUGCGGAGGAACACCGAUGGCGAAGGCAGCCCCCUGGGCUAACACUGACGCUCAGGCACGAAAGCGUGGGGAGCAAACAGG